rnacentral:rRNA from 1 species
GACAGAGGGUGCAAACGUUGCUCGGAAUCACUGGGCGUAAAGGGCGUGUAGGCGGGAAGGAAAGUCAGAUGUGAAAUCCCCAAGCUCAACCUGGGAACUGCAUUUGAAACUCCCUUUCUUGAGUACCGGAGAGGAAAGUGGAAUUCCUGGUGUAGAGGUGAAAUUCGUAGAUAUCAGGAGGAACACCAGUGGCGAAGGCGGCUUUCUGGACGGUAACUGACGCUGAGACGCGAAAGCGUGGGGAGCAAACAGG